rnacentral:tRNA from 1 species
GUGGCUGUACAUCAAAAUGUGCUUAAUCAGUCACCUCUGUUGUCGCACCACCCUUUUUGAAUUUGCCCGGCGAAUGCCGGUGGAACUACAGGAUGCUGGGGUCGCGGGUUCAAGUCCCGCCAGCCAUA